UACGGGAGGCAGCAGUGGGGAAUAUUGCACAAUGGGCGCAAGCCUGAUGCAGCCAUGCCGCGUGUAUGAAGAAGGCCUUCGGGUUGUAAAGUACUUUCAGUCGUGAGGAAGGUGUUAAGGUUAAUAACCUUAGCAAUUGACGUUAGCGACAGAAGAAGCACCGGCUAACUCCGUGCCAGCAGCCGCGGUAAUACGGAGGGUGCGAGCGUUAAUCGGAAUUACUGGGCGUAAAGGGCAUGCAGGCGGUUAAUUAAGUUGGAUGUGAAAUCCCCGGGCUUAACCUGGGAAUGGCAUUCAAGACUGGUUAGCUAGAGUCUUGUAGAGGGGGUAGAAUUCCAUGUGUAGCGGUGAAAUGCGUAGAGAUGUGGAGGAAUACCGGUGGCGAAGGCGGCCCCUGGGACAAAGACUGACGCUCAUGUGCGAAAGCGUGGGGAGCAAACAGGAUUAGAUACC
rnacentral:rRNA from 1 species